rnacentral:miRNA from 1 species
UAGUACCUGGAAAAUUAACUCAC